rnacentral:rRNA from 1 species
AACGGCGAGUGAAGCGGGAAGAGCUCAAAUUUGUAAUCUGGCACUUUCAGUGUCCGAGUUGUAAUCUCGAGAAGUAUUUUCCGCGCCGGACCGCAUACAAGUCUGUUGGAAUACAGCGUCAUAGUGGUGAGAACCCCGUAACUGAUGCGGAUGCCCGGUGCUUUGUGAUAUACUUUCGAAGAGUCGAGUUGUUUGGGAAUGCAGCUCAAAUUGGGUGGUAAAUUCCAUCUAAAGCUAAAUAUUGGAGCAAGACCGAUAGCGAACAAGUACCGUGAGGGAAAGAUGAAAAGCACUUUGGAAAGAGAGUUAACAGUACGUGAAAUUGUUGGAAGGGAAACGCUUGAAGUCAGACUUGCUAUUCGGAGUUCAGCCGCAAGGUGUAUUCUUCGAUUUGCAGGCCAGCAUCAGUUUUUGGGGGUGGAAAAUCGUGGUUUGAAGGUAGCAGCUUCGGCUGUGUUAUAGCUUUCCACUGGAUUCAUCUUCGGGGACUGAGGAACGCAGUACGCUUUUUGCAAGGCUUUCGAGCUUUUCGUACUUAGGAUGCUGGUGGAAUGGCUUUAAACGACCCGUCUUGAAACAC